GACCACAUCAGUUGGGGAAAUAACUCUUUAUCCCGGCUUGCAGCCACGAGGUCUUGAUUGGGGGAGGGGUGGUAAAGAAUAGUCCCUUUGCUGCUGCUUUUUCCCUCUCUUCGGAGCUGUACAGUACAGUUAACGACUGUUGUGGAUUAUACUGGAGUAUUUCAGGAUCUUUUUAAAUAAGACGUGAAUCUCGUACCUGUGGGGUUUUCAACUUUAUUCUCUUAACACGUUUUCACCCAUAUACAUUGUUGGUCUUUUAAACAUUUGCCAGUGUUCCUUGACUGUGUUAUCCUAGGUUUAGCAAAUGGAUGUAACUAAUUGAUAUAAGGGUGUUAGAAAAGAGCAAAUUUAAAUUUAAAUAUGGGAUUGGAGGAUGAUAAUAAUUUUCAGCAAAUAUGUUUGUCUUUUUUCCCUGUUUCCCCACCCCCCAUCCCAGUCAUAACACGUGGACCUAACUGCACCAAAAGCUUUUCUAAGGAUACUUGCUGAGAAGAAAGUUUUCCCUAUUGGGUAAGUGUAUUCUUCUUCUUCUUCUUGUUUUUUUUUCUUGGUUAACUUUUCUUUAAAUCAAUUUUUUUAUUUUAAUCUCUUAUUUCAGUAAAUAGAUGGGAUUGGGUUUUCAAAGAGUGAAAUAGGUAUUUUGUACUUUGUCCAUUUACCUUUUUUAGAAAAUUAACUCAAUGUGGGUCAGCUAAUAUUUAAGUUAGUAAUAACAGUGGAAACUGAUGCAGUUUACCAAAUGUAAUUUUAGAACUGCUUUGAGUGGUACAAUAGAUUUGAUCUGGAGUAAGUUUUCAAGAUUCAAAGAAAUUUAAACAGGAUGUUUGAGUUCUGCAACCAGCUAAUGCACUUGAAAUGUAGUCUGAACAGUAAUUCUGUUAAUCAGUUUGCCAAGUAUUUGCUAAUUGGAAGCCAGAAGAAAAGGAAAAUGUUUUGCCACGUGGAUGUGAAGAUUCCCUCUAAAAGGCAAACCUGUCUAAGCAGAACAAGCCAGAUUUGGGUUUUCCCCUGUAGUUGGAAGAGCCCUACAGAAUGAUUCCUGACAAAAUGCAACCUGCAAUUACCUGAAGACCAAUUCAGUGUUACAGUCAAGUUUAUUAUGUAUUUAAUGAAAUAUUGUUCUGUUAGUAAUUGACAAGUAUGGUGUAGUUGUCUGUCAUUAGAAAAUUAGCCUCUUAGCUGAGUAGUAAAGGUAAGGAGAGCACAAGUAUACAAGGCCAGUAUUUGGUGUCCAACUAAAAAUAAGACGAUCAUGUCUGCUUGAGUUUUUGCAGGUUAUUCUUUGCCUUAGAGGUUGUUGAGCUUACACUGUUUUUAGAAGUCUGAAUUAAAAUGUAGCUUUCUGUUGAUAAGUUCAGUUCCUGAUGUAAUAGUCUUCAUGAGUUGUAAAGCAUAACUAAGAUAGUUGUAUCCUAUGAAUUUUAAGACCAUAGGGAAAUUGUUCAAGAAGGCUGAGUUUUCUUUUUCCAGUAAUUUAAACAGGCACAGCAUUCAGAGAGGCCUACUUACGUAUUUGCAAUUCAGUCAUGCUGUUUGAGUUGUUUUGGUGCAUUUAAUGUAAAUAAAUCACAUAUUUUAAGACUGUUAAGAAAUUGU
ensembl:lncRNA